GGAAAGUGCCAGGACUUGAUGAGUAGGAGGGCACGGUGGUUACUGGAAAACCUUAUGUGCAAGAUGGGGUAGAGCGGCCACCGGUGUAGAUCUUAGUGGUAGUAAAAAAUAUUCAAUUGAGAACUUUGAAGGCCGAAGAUGGGAAAGGUUCCAUGUAAAUGACACUUGCACAUGGGUUAGUCGUUCCUAAGGGUCGGGGGAACCCCGAUAUAUAACAAAUUUCACGCAUACUCCAAAAGGGAAUCGGGUUAAAAUUCCUGAACUGGGACGUGAUGGUCGAUGGCAAUGUUAGGAAGUCUGAAGAUGUCGGCAGGAGCCUCGGAAAGUAUUUUUUUUUAUUUAACAGCCUGCCCACCCUGGAAUCGGCUCAGCCAGAGGUAGGGUCCAACAGCUGGAAGAGCACUGUACGUCACGUGGUGUCCGGUACACUCCCAGUGGCCCUUAAAAAUCCAAAGGACCGAAUGUCAUCCAUGACCGAUCAUACUCAUAACUGCAUCAGGUCUCCAAGGUGAACAAUCUAUGGUUGAUGGAACAAUGUAGGCAAGGUAAGUCAGCAAAAAGGAUCCAUAAGUUCGGGAAAAGGAUUGGCUCAGAGGGCUAGGCACGAGGGUCCUAAUUCUAAACCCGUCGGCUGUUGGUGGACUGCUUGAGCUUCUCCCAUGGUGACCCGCCAAUUCAGAACUAGUACGGACAAGGGGAAUCUGACUGUUUAAUUAAAACAAAGCAUUGCAUGGUCCUAACGGAUGUUCACGCAAUACGAUUUCUGCUAGUGCUUUGAAUGUUAAUGUGAAGAAAUUCAACCAAGUGCGGGUAAAUGGCGGGAGUAACUAUGACUCUCUUAAGGUAGCCAAAUGCAUCGUCAUCAAAUUAGUGAUGCACAUGAAUAGACUAACGAGAUUUCUACUGUCCUUUUCUACUAACCAGCGAAACCACAACUAAGGGAACAGGCUUGGCAACUCAGUAGUGAAAGAAGACCCUGUUGAGGUUGACUCUAUUUUGACUUUGUGAAAUAAAUUGAGAGGUGUAGUAUAAGUGGGAGCUGAAAGGCGAAAGUGAAAAACCACUACUUUUAACGUUAUUGCACUCAUUACGUGAAUCAGAAGCGGGGAACUACCUCACUUUUUGGACCGAAGGCUCGCUCUACAGGCCGACCCAGGCGGAAGAUAUUAUUAGGUGGGGAGUUUGGUUGGGGUGGCACAUCUAUUAAAAUAUAAAUAAUGUGCCCUAAAGUAGCUCAAUAGAAUAGAAAUAUCAUGCGGAACCGAAGGGUAAAAUCUCAUUUGAUUCUGAUUUCUAGUACGAAUAUGAAUCAUGCAGCGUGUCCAAAUGAUCAUUUAGACCUUUGAAAUUCGAAGCUAGAGGUGUCAGAAAAUUUAGCACAGGGAUAACUGGUUUGUGGCAGCCAAGCAUUCAUAGCGACAUUGCUUUUUAAUUCUUCGAUGUCGGCUCUUCCUAUCAUUGUGAAGCAGAAUUCACCAAGUGUUGGAUAGUUCAUCUACCAAUAGGAAACAUGAGCUGGGUUUAGACUAUCAUGAGACAGGUUAGUUUUACCCUACUGAUAACAGUGUCAUAAUAGUAAUUCAAUGUAGUAUGAGAGGAACAAUUUAUUCACAUAAUUGGUCAUCACGCAUGGUUGAAAAUCCAAUGGUGCGAAGCUACCUUCUGCUGGAUUAUGACUGAAUGACUCUAAGUCAGAAUCU
rnacentral:rRNA from 1 species